GUAAAACCCUAACUAAGACACACGGAAAGCUAAGCAAUGUAAGAGAUCUAAAAAUCACACAGACGAGUGGUAGUGGAGGCCCAUAAAAUCGACAGGCACAACCGCAGAGGACAGGUAGAGCCCAGAGGGUAUGUGGCUACCAGAAGUUGCCAGCUGGCCUCACCCGUAUUUACACACUCACACUACUGUCUUUGUCUAGGCCGUGGCUCUGAACUGGCUUCAGGUUGAGACUUGGUUGGUACUUGGUUCUUGACAGUUUGGAGAUCUGUUUAGGGGCAAGGUCAUUCAUUCACAGACUAACCACAGGGGCCAUUUUAGAAGAGCACCUUGAAGCCGGACAGUGAUGGCACACACCUUUAAUCCCAGCACUCAGGAGGCAGAGGCAGGAGGAUCUCUGUGAGUUUGAGAGAAGCCUCGUCUACAGUGUGAGUUCCAGGACGGCCAGGGCUACAUUGAGAAAUCCUGUCUCAAAAAACCAAAAACCAAAACAAACUAGCACCUUACAGCCAGGCAUAGUGGUGCUUGCCUUUAACCCCAGUACUUGGGAAUCAUAGGCAGGUGGGUCUCAGGUCUACACAGUGAAUUUCAGGACAGCCAGAACUACACAGGGGAAAACAUGUCACCUUGAAACCAAAGCCUGUGGCUGGAGAAAAGCAGAGGAGGAGGAGGGGGAGCAGCAGUGGAGGAGGAGGGGGAGCAGUGGAGGAUGGGGAGGAGCAGUGGAGGAGGAGGGGGAGCAGUGGAGGAGGAGGGGGAGCAGUGGAGGAUGGGGAGGAGCAGUGGAGGAGGGGGAGGAGCAGUGGAGGAGGAGGAGCAGCAGUGGAGGAGGAGGAGCAGCAGUGGAGGAUGAGGGGGAGCAGCAGUGGAGGAGGAGGAGCAGCAGUGGAGGAUGAGGGGGAGCAGCAGUGGAGGAGGAGGGGGAGCAGCAGUGGAGGAGGAGGGGGAGCAGUGGAGGAUGGGGAGGAGCAGUGGAGGAGGGGGAGGAGCAGUGGAGGAGGAGGGGGAGCAGUGGAGGAUGGGGAGGAGCAGUGGAGGAGGGGGAGGAGCAGAGGAUAGGGAGGAGCAGUGGAGGAUGAGGACAAGGUCUUUAAACCAACAUGCUGCCAGAUGUUCUGGAAUCAGGUCAUAGCAAGACAGCAAGGUACUCUGGACUGUCCAGCUGCCAAACUUUAUCCAACAUUCCUUUAUCCUGAACUCCACCUCCUGGUGGUUCUGAUCUUCUAUCUACAAACUGAGGGUCACAGGUCAUGAGUCUGAAGAUGAGGGUGCCCUACAAACCUGGGAGGAGCUCCAGAGGAACUAGAGCUGGCAGCACAUACGCAGGGAGGCCUCUCCUAGAAAGGCAGCUGCUGGA
rnacentral:lncRNA from 1 species